CUGCAAACAGACCCGGAUGCGAAUUGUCAUUUUCUGUUUCAAAUUCCAUUAGAGCCUUAUUGCCCGUGUUAAAAACUUUGUUUUUAUGAUGGUGGUUUGAUGAAGAAACUGAGUCGGAGAGGUUAAAUAACUUACCCAAGGUUGUACUGGAAAUAAGAGGGAAGAUUCAGACACAGGGACAGCUGAUUAUUCUACCCUUAAAAUGACCCAUCUCCAGCCUGGGGCUGGCCAGUUUCGGUCUUUGUGGUGUGAAGAUGGCAAGAUUCUGGAUGUGUUACAUACAGAGCUGCUGGUCUCAGCAGCAGUGGCUCAGCUUCCUCUGUUCCAUCAAUUCCAUGAUAAUCUAAGGACAAAUCAGUCCAGGUGCCAUUGCCAUAGUUUCUAUUCUGCUUGUCAGAUUUUACUGUGGCUCUGCUUUCUAAGAUUGUCAUCAGAUAACAGACAAGAGAAGACAAAGAACAAGAGAGAGACACAGCGAGAGAGGGAACACAGCAGGGGGAGUGGAGAGAGAGAAGCAGGCUUCCCGCGGAGCAGGGAGCCCGAUGCAGGGCUCGAUCCCGCGACCCUGAGAUCAUGACCUGAGCCAAAGGCAGACGCUUAACGACUGAGCCACCCAGGCGCCCCAGAAUUUGUCUUUUAUUCUUAAUAGAUAAUUUUAAAUAUCUUGAACAAACAUUUUGAAAAUGUGAAGAAUAAGCAUAUAAUUUUAUUUUAAUUUGACUUUUAGUGAAAAUACAUUUGAAUUGUUUGCUUCGAGUCCAAAAUUUCUUUUUAAUCCUUUAGGUCAUUACUGUUAGUGCACUGUAAGUUAUAUGAAAAUCUUGGUUAUAUCAACAUAGUGAUUUUGAUGGGGAAAA